GAUGAACGCUAGCGAUAGGCCUAACACAUGCAAGUCGAGGGGCAGCACAUGAAGCAGCAAUGCGGAUGGUGGCGACCGGCGCACGGGUGAGUAACGCGUAUGCAACCUACCUACAACAGGGGAAUAACCCGUUGAAAGACGGACUAAUACCCCAUAACACAGGGAUCCCGCAUGGGAAUAUUUGUUAAAGAUUUAUCGGUUGUAGAUGGGCAUGCGUUCCAUUAGCUAGUUGGUGAGGUAACGGCUCACCAAGGCAACGAUGGAUAGGGGAACUGAGAGGUUUAUCCCCCACACUGGUACUGAGACACGGACCAGACUCCUACGGGAGGCAGCAGUGAGGAAUAUUGGUCAAUGGGCGCAAGCCUGAACCAGCCACGUCGCGUGAAGGAAGACGGCCCUACGGGUUGUAAACUUCUUUUGUAAGGGAAUAAAGUGUAGUACGUGUACUAUUUUGCAUGUACCUUACGAAUAAGGAUCGGCUAACUCCGUG
rnacentral:rRNA from 2 species